rfam:Xylona heveae TC161 unplaced genomic scaffold L228scaffold_14, whole genome shotgun sequence.
GCGUUGAUGGUUUAGUGGUAAAAUUCGUCGUUGCCAUCGACGAGCCCCGGGUUCGAUUCCCGGUCGACGCA